rnacentral:lncRNA from 1 species
CGCCCCAGACUCUCAUGCUUUUUUUUCUUUCAGUCUCAUUGCAGGACCAGGAAGAGGAUCAUUGACACGAAGGGGGACACUAACUCACAGCCCCCCUCCACUCCUUUCUGUCGUCUUCAUCCAAAUGGCUACUUCUCUGAUUGUCCAUUAUUCGAUCAACAAUUAACCCCAGGGAAGAGAAUCUAGGAUUUCCCAGAAAGGCAUUAUUAGCCACCUUUCCUGCAGACAUGGUGAUGCAUCUUGGGAAGAGAAACUCAAAUUAGCUACCAGAAGGCUGAAAUCUUCCUUCAAAUUCAGUUCUGGCUAUAGGACAUCUCUUCCCAAACACCUACCGGAUCAUCGAAUCCAGCAUGUUGCAGAUAGAGUGGAAGGUCUGGGGCCAGGUACCUGCUUCACGUCAAUUGUCCAACUUCCCAGUUCUGAUGAAGUUGCCACCAGGCUCCACUCUUCCUUCCCCAUCAGUGCUUGCCUCACACUUGGUCCCAACCAGUUCCCCUAUUUUACCUGUGAGACAGUUUUAACAACCCUGUCCUCUUCCCUAGCCCCCACGCUCCAUUCUCCAUUAGGCAUUGCUUAUCUUUGACUGGACUUUUGAACUUGUCCUUGAGUGGCUCUAUCUCCAUUUUCUCUUCUCCAGUGAAUCCUACACAUGAGUACCCAAUGAAACUUACAAAAACAUGUUUCAAAAUCAUUCCUGCUAAGAAGACCAUCAUAGCUUGCCUAGAAAAUUAAUAAUAAACUCCUACCGUUUCCACACUAGGCCAUUCCUAUCAUAACCUCAACUUUGUUUCAGUUCUUCUUGCCAUUUCA